GACGAACGCUGGCGGCGUGCUUAACACAUGCAAGUCGAACGGAAAGGCCCUGCUUUUGUGGGGUGCUCGAGUGGCGAACGGGUGAGUAACACGUGAGUAACCUGCCCUUGACUUUGGGAUAACUUCAGGAAACUGGGGCUAAUACCGGAUAGGAGCUGCUGCUGCAUGGUGGGGGUUGGAAAGUUUCGGCGGUUGGGGAUGGACUCGCGGCUUAUCAGCUUGUUGGUGGGGUAGUGGCUUACCAAGGCUUUGACGGGUAGCCGGCCUGAGAGGGUGACCGGCCACAUUGGGACUGAGAUACGGCCCAGACUCCUACGGGAGGCAGCAGUGGGGAAUAUUGCACAAUGGGCGGAAGCCUGAUGCAGCAACGCCGCGUGCGGGAUGACGGCCUUCGGGUUGUAAACCGCUUUCGCCUGUGACGAAGCGUGAGUGACGGUAAUGGGUAAAGAAGCACCGGCUAACUACGUG
rnacentral:rRNA from 1 species